CCUACGGGAGGCAGCAGUAGGGAAUCUUUCACAAUGGGCGAAAGCCUGAUGGAGCAACGCCGCGUGCAGGAUGAAGGCCUUCGGGUUGUAAACUGCUUUUAUAAGCGAGAAAUAUGAUGGUAACUUAUGAAUAAGGAUCGGCUAACUACGUGCCAGCAGCCGCGGUCAUACGUAGGAUCCGAGCAUUAUCCGGAGUGACUGGGUGUAAAGAGUUGCGUAGGUGGCAUAAUAAGUAGCUAGUGAAAUCUGGUGGCUCAACAAUUCAGACUAUUAGCUAAACUGUUAAGCUCGAGACCGUUAGAGGUAACUGGAAUUUCUAGUGUAGGAGUGAAAUCCGUAGAUAUUAGAAGGAACACCAAUAGCGUAGGCAGGUUGCUGGGACGGUUCUGACACUAAGGCACGAAAGCGUAGGGAGCAAACGGGAUUAGAUACCCCAGUAGUC
rnacentral:rRNA from 1 species